AAAAAAACCAAACACCCCGUCAAUAACACCGCAAGAUGGCCGGUAGGACGAAUGGACUGGAAAAUUAUUUUCUCUUUGAAAAAGUGUGAGAGCGAGAAAACAAAGUGCAUUUUAAUAUAUUUUUCUAGACAAGACUAAUUUCUUCGGUGAAUCAUCAUCAUCCACAGAGCCGACGACCCAUUCUCGAUUUGAAGAAGAAGAAGAAGAAGACUUUAACCUGACCCGGGAUGAUUUUGAUGAGCUGGACAGGCUCGAUAAUCAGACUCGAAAUCUGACCUCGACAGCCAGUGAAGCCCCAGGACCUUCAAACACAGGCCGUCAGAAUCUGACAAGAAAUAGGUCAAUUAUCA